rnacentral:rRNA from 1 species
UACGGAGGGUGCAAGCGUUGUUCGGAAUUACUGGGCGUAAAGGGAGCGUAGGCGGACCCUAAAGUCUGAUGUGAAAGCCCGGGGCUCAACUCCGGAAGUGCAUUGGAAACUUAGGGUCUUGAGUUCGGGAGAGGAAGGCAGAAUUCCCGGUGUAGGGGUGAAAUCCGUAGAGAUCGGGAGGAAAACCAGUGGCGAAGGCGGCCUUCUGGAACGAAACUGACGCUGAGGCUCGAAAGCGUGGGGAGCAAACAGG